UACGAAGGGGGCUAGCGUUGUUCGGAUUUACUGGGCGUAAAGCGCACGUAGGCGGAUCGAUCAGUCAGGGUGAAAUCCCAGGCUCAACCCUGGAACUGCCUUUGAUACUGUCGAUCUGGAGUAUGGAAGAGGUGAGUGGAAUUCCGAGUGUAGAGGUGAAAAUUCGUAGAUAUUCGGAGGAACACCAGUGGCGAAGGCGGCUCACUGGUCCAUUACUGACGCUGAGGUGCGAAAGCGUGGGGAGCAAACAGGG
rnacentral:rRNA from 1 species